AUGCCAAUUAGGCCCUAAUCUGAUUUCUGUUCUAUCUCUGCGAACCCCAUUAAAACCCAAUUCUGCUUAUUAACAACAGCUUUCUCGCUUCGCAGUGCCUCGCCCUCUCAGGGUUGCUCCGGCGCUGUGAGGAUCGGGGCUCCGCGCGCCGGGCCGCAGGGGACCCCCUUCUCCGGGGCCGCCGCGCCAGCCCCUCCGCCCCCGGAUGCGCCACCUCCCCACGUNNACAGCCCCACCUCCCCGCGUUGUCCAGGCCGGGGUCGGGACCCAGGCCCGGCGCCCCCGCCGAGUCACGGGACCCCUUCUUCGGGAACAAUGGGAUCGUAGAAAGCUGGAACUGGGCGUUGUUGGGAACUCGGAGGUCAUCAAGCCCCGCCUCCCACGCCCUGCAGGAAUUCCCUAGACGCUGGGCGAUCCUCAGGCUGUUCCCGGUACGGGGAGCUCACUCCCUCUCUCAAGGAAACCUGGUCGGCUUCAAGUUCCCGGCGCCUUCGCUGUGUGACAUUAAUCAGAGCUCUGGACCUCUCCGGUCCGAAGUAGCUUCAUCUGUACCCCGGGGGCGCGAUGAUAAUGCUUGCCUCCUGAGAUUGUUGAAGGAUAAGAAGACACCGGCAAAGCGUAAGAGCGCCAGAGUGAGGCAGCUGUAAGGAGCAGCACUACGGAUCCAUCUAGCCCUUGCAGACACAGACAUCUUCCAAGCAAAUGUGUGAGCACGGGAGUGGUGAAGCAAUCCUUGGUGAGAUAAGGCGGGUGCUCUCCUAUCUUGGAUCAUACCACCCCGGCAUGUGGCGGAGGCUUAGGGGGCACAGAGUCUGAGGGACAUGACUGUCCAGUCCUUCCUCCACCCACCCGGCCCUGCCUCCCCAAGGGACCACAGAGGCGAGAACAAUGCUUUCUUCUUGGAGGUGUGUGGGACAUCUGGGCUAGCAGAGAGGCACCCAAAGGGACAGACCCACAUCGACUGGUUCUUCUGUCUUAAGCACUGCUGAAGACCCUCCCAGAGAGACUCAUGUCCACCCCCAGGGGUGGAACCUGUUGGGCAGGUUACCCAAAGCUGAUCUCCCCACAGAAGAGAGCUUUGGGGGCUGCAGGGCUGCUGUCCGUCUGAACUGACCCCGAUGGUGAGCCCACGACCAUGCCAGGCUCCUGCACACCCUUCAUCUCAUUGGACUGUGUCAACCACGCUGAGAAAAAGCUUUUGCUGGGCCCCUCUUCCAAAUCAAGACAAAAAGGUCAUCACCGCUGGCCUGAGAUCAUUCAGCUUGUAAGUGGCACAGGUUGAGAGAUUGAGCUCAUACAUUUGGCACUGUUGGUUAAUGACCUAUCGCUUGGUUAGUGACCUACUGAUUAUCAGGCACUGCUUUGGGCGCUUUGG
rnacentral:lncRNA from 1 species